rnacentral:rRNA from 1 species
GAUAAACGCUGGCGGCGUGCCUAACACAUGCAAGUCGAACGCCCUCGAGCAAUCGAGGGAGUGGCGGACGGGUGAGGAACACGUGGGUCAUCUACCUUGAGGUGAGGAAUACCGGCGAGAAAUCGCCGACAAUACCGCAUAGCCUUUCUUUCGGGAAAGGAAAGCUAUUCGCAAGAAUGGCGCCACAAGAUGAGCCUGCGCCCGAUUAGCUAGUUGGGGAGGUAACAGCUUCCCAAGGCGACAAUCGGUAGCUGGUCUGAGAGGACGAUCAGCCACA